GGUGGUCAGAGUGGAAGAUGGGACUGAGGGCUUGCGACACAUCAGGGACUCUGCACCGGUUCUCCCCCCCGCCCCCGCUCCCCGGAAAUGAUACUGACAUCCUUUGUGAAGGGCUUGGAGCUCUACCGGUGACAAGGGCAAUGGAAGAUCAAAGUGCUGGGGAAGCUACGAAAGCGCCGUUGGCCUUUGGAGAUCUGAGAGGCAAGAAUGCCCCAUCCCUAAAGGGAGGAGAACGUUGGUGACCUGCACUUCCUACGGCGAGGAUGCGCCAUCAGGACAUCCGUUUCUCUGUGCUGGCUCGGGCAGAGCCAUGGCAUCAGCACAGCGCCGGAAGCGCUCUGUGGUGGCGGGAGCCAGUUUCCAGCAGCCCUUGGCUUUGGCUGGGGGUUGGUAGAGCUGCAGCUGCUUCUUCCAAUUAAAGGGGCCUCUUCAUUCAUGA